rnacentral:rRNA from 1 species
UACGUAGGGGGCGAGCGUUUGUCCGGAGUACUGGGCGUAAAGCGCACGCAGGCGGUCUGCUAAGUUUGGAGUGACAGUUGGUGGCUUAACUGCCAAAGUGCUUCGAAAACUGACAGACUUGAGGGCUUCAGAGGGAUGGGGAAUUCCGGAUGGAGUGGUGAAAUGCGUAGAGAUCCGGAAGAACACCAAAGGCGAAGGCACCAUCCUGGGGAGUCACUGACGCUCGGGUGCGAAAGCUAGGGGAGCGAACGGG